GCGGAGCGAUACCGACCGUGAUUCUUUAUGCGACGCGACGAUCAAUAUUUUUUCUGAUUCAAGAUAAUUGUUUUAUUUACAUAGGAUGAUUACGUGGCUGUAUAUUGGAGCGACAAAUGGAUUAGAGAACGCAUUGAACGUCCAGAUCCAUCGGGAGAGAGAAGCGUAGGACGAUUACUCGAUCACGGUGGUUACUGGCAGUUUAGUAAUUCGUAAUGUAGGCCAUUGAUUAUAAUUAUUUGAGCCUACCCUUCCAAGCCAUCGAAAUCUUUUUAGCAAAUAUUCAGAACCAAAAAACGGUAAAUGGUCGACAGAAGCUUACAAUGUGGUACAAAAUUGUUCCUCAAAGGGAGUUACUGCUCAAGCUUAGAUUGAAGGUCACAUUCAAACUAAUAUUUGUGCAAAUAUUUAUUUUAUGAUACAAAAUUAUGGGUUAAUUUCCCUUACUGAAGAACUGGUAAUGAACGGACAUGCUGAACAAGUAGCAUGGGACCAGAUGAAGCUAGAAACACUUGAAUCCAUCUGUACAUAAGAGUUGUCAAGAAACUCUACAAUUUUCACGCAUAAUCCGCGAUUCUUAAUCAGUAUGAACUAGAGUUUAAUACAAUCGCCAUUGAUGAUCCCCUUUAAUUGCGUCAAAAUUGAUUAUUUUGCUUUUUGACUUCGUUUUUUAUUCAUGUUGUAAAAUAGUUUUCCGAUUGUGUAGAAUAUUUAUAUUUAGAAAGAAAGAAAUUUAUAAAGAUUGCUAUAUUGAUCGUAAAGUAGAGAAAACAAUAACUUAACAUUUUACAAAGUAGUGUUACAUUUAAACUAGAACAUUUGUAUCGAAUAACUCAGACGAAUUAGGAAAUUCCUUUUUACGUGACUAAUAUCUAUUUCUGAUUGGGGACGAUUCGAGAACUCAUAGAAAUAAUUUAAUUUCUUUUCACAUUUAAAUUUAGGUCAUCGUAGAUUAAACUUGUUACUUUAGAAGUUAUUGUUAAAUGGCGCAUUUUAUUUAACAUCUCGUGUUAUCUUUUCAAAUUAUUUAAAGGUUGCUAAUUCAUUUAAAGAUUCGUCUUUUGAACAUUAUUUUUCAGUAACUUGUAAAAAAUCCAAGAGGGCCUAUCCCGAUAGGUGGCUCCACACGUUGCGUGCGGAAGUCGCGGUAACGCGAGGGGCGCUAACGUCAGCGCUACCGUCGCGCGGUCGCGAAUGGCGUGUGAUUGGUAGGUGGCAUCACGAGAUGUUCACGUGAGAAGUUCGUAACGGUCGUGCAGGUCCGAACAUGUUCCGGCGCGGUCGUGCGAGAUAAGUCGAGAGAGUUCGAAGAAAGUUGCGAAAGAGAACCGUCGUGCGUCGUAGGGCUCCCGCCUCUGUAAUUUC